GGAUGUGAGGGCGAUCUGGCUGCGACAUCUGUCACCCCAUUGAUCGCCAGGGUUGAUCUGGCUGACUUGGCUGACUAGGCAGGUGUCCCCUUCCUCCCUCACUGCUCCAUGUGCGUCCCUCCCGAAGCUGCUCUCUGGUUGGAGAGGACGGCCUUCCCCAAAUAGAGACGGACCUGUCUUCAGUCGAGGGUAUAGGAGUAGCUGCGCUCCCCUGCUAGAACCUCCAAACAAGCUCUCAAGGUCCUAGCUGUGACCAUGGACUGAGAGCUCAGACUGACAG
rnacentral:snRNA from 1 species